UACGAAGGGUGCGAGCGUUGUCCGGAAUUAUUGGGCGUAAAGGGCUCGUAGGCGGUCUGUCGCGUCGGUAGUGAAAACUCAGGGCUUAACCCUGAGCCUGCUUCCGAUACGGGCAGACUAGAGGUAUGCAGGGGAGAAUGGAAUUCCUGGUGUAGCGGUGAAAUGCGUAGAUAUCAGGAGGAACACCGGUGGCGAAGGCGGGAUCCUGGGCCAGUACUGACGCUGAGGAGCGAAAGCGUGGGGAGCAAACAGG
rnacentral:rRNA from 1 species